rnacentral:rRNA from 1 species
AGUGAACGCUGGCGGUAGGCCUAACACACGCAAGUCGAACGGCAGCACAGUAAGAGCUUGCUCUUACGGGUGGCGAGUGGCGGACGGGUGAGGAAUACAUCGGAAUCUACUUUUUCGUGGGGGAUAACGUAGGGAAACUUACGCUAAUACCGCAUACGACCUACGGGUGAAAGCAGGGGAUCUUCGGACCUUGCGCGAUUGAAUGGGCCGAUGUCGGAUUAGCUAGUUGGCGGGGUAAAGGCCCACCAAGGCGACGAUCCGUAGCUGGUCUGAGAGGAUGAUCAGCCACACUGGAACUGAGACACGGUCCAGACUCCUACGGGAGGCAGCAGUGGGGAAUAUUGGACAAUGGGCGCAAGCCUGAUCCAGCCAUACCGCGUGGGUGAAGAAGGCCUUCGGGUUGUAAAGCCCUUUUGUUGGGAAAGAAAAGCAGCAGGUUAAUACCCCGCUGUUCUGACGGUACCCAAAGAAUAAGCACCGGCUAACUUCGUG